rnacentral:lncRNA from 10 species
GGGGCCAGUGUGUGGGGUGAUAUGGUGGGAGGAGCUGCAGGAAGACAGCGGAUUGAGAUCUGGACUCAAGCAGUCCUGUGGGGAAGCCAGGUUUCUCUACUGACUCUUGUGUAGAGGAGAAGACUAGGCGUGGUGGCUCAUUCUGUAAUCGCAGUACUUCAGGAGGCCAAGGCAAGAGGAUUGCUUGAGCAUAGGAGGCCAAGUCUGCAGUGAGCCGUGACCUUGCCAGUGCAUUCAGUCUGGGCAACAGAGUGAGACCCUGUCUCAAAACAAACAAAUGAAAAAUAAAAAGUAAGUAUCUAACGCAGGAAUAGAAAAUCAAAUACUGCAUCUUCUCACUUAUAAGUGGGAGCUAAAUGAUAAGAAUUUAUGAACACAAGGAAAUAACAGACACGGGGGUCCACUUGAGGGGGGAGGGCAGGAGGAGGGAGAGGAGCAGAAAAGAUGGGGGGAGGGCAGGAGGAGGGAGAGGAGCAGAAAAGAUGGGGGGAGGGCAAGAGGAGGGAGAGGAGCAGAAAAGAUGGGGGGAGGGCAGGAGGAGGGAGAGGAGCAGAAAAGAUGGGGGGAGGGCAAGAGGAGGGAGAGGAGCAGAAAAGAUGGGGGGAGGGCAGGAGGAGGGAGAGGAGCAGAAAAGAUAACUAUUGGGUACUGGGCUUAGUACCUGAGUGAUGAAAUAAUCUUUACAACAAACUCCCGUGACAUGUGUUUAUUUAUGUAACAAACCUUCACAUGUAC